AUCAUACGGACACGUCAUUCGAUCCGGUAACGUGACGCAUGUUUAUGAUUUGACACCGUACAGUCAGCAAACAAGAUUAAACAGCAAUAUAAUUUUAUUGGUGUAUUCCUGUCGGAAAUGCUCGAUUAGUUUCAGGACCAUCCGAGGUCCUUAAUCAUGAGAGGCUAUAACACAACUGUUAUCUGUGACGCAACCAAUGAUGAUUAAAGUCCCUGGAUGAUUUCGAAACUCCUCAGGAAUCCUCGACAAAAAUAUGCAAACCUCAAUUUGCCAUGGCUAGGUAAUAUAUAUAUAAAAAAAGAAUUUUCCAAAUGGAUUUACGACUGACGCAGUUAAGAAGUCACCAAUAUAUAAAAAAAAACUACCUCCUUUUUGGAAAAAAAGAAGAAGGAAGUAAGUAGAAGAAAAUACUUACAGAUUAUUUAAUAAUUAUCGACACUUAAUUACAAAGUAUGUGUACAAGUAGCACGACAAUCUACAGCGGUAUGACCACAGGAUAACAUAAAAUCCAUUAGUUUUAGGUAUUAUAUUUAAUUACCAAUUUAGAAUUUAUAUAUGUUAUAACCAGCGUUUUCCUCCAUUGGAUAUAUUGGGUUUUCCUCUUUUAUU